UAGCACAAGGUACGUAGGUAAUCUAACAGAGCUAGAUGCAACCGAAUCCUCCCUACGAUGACGCUCUCCUUUGUGGUUCGUACAACGGUUCAUAGGAAUGAGACGGCGAUCCAGAAUUUGUUAAUUCCACAAGGCUCCAUAGUUAUCCUUUUUAGCUCCUGCUCAAUCUUCUUCAUACACCAGAAGGGUCCGGCAAUUAUUGGCUUCCCCAUCCGAAAUCAACCUCUCCCACACCAGUGCGCGUGUUAUCCGAAAGUAUGAAGUUAUUCCCUGCCAAUCUCCACCGCGUAUUCCAGUGGACUGUUACACAAGAGUUCGGCUGUUGAAACCACACCCGGGAAUCCAAUUGCAUUGCCAUAGAAUCCCAAAGGAACAUUGAGAUUGUUGCGCUUUCCACGUGCAUUGACGACUAGCGAA